rnacentral:rRNA from 1 species
AACGAACGCUGGCGGCAGGCCUAACACAUGCAAGUCGAGCGCCCGGAUUUAUCCGGGAGCGGCGCACGGGUGAGUAACGCGUGGGAACAUGCCCUGAAGUACGGAACAACCUGGGGAAACCUUGGCUAAUACCGUAUACGCCCUGAGGGGGACAGAUUUAUCGCUUUGGGAUUGGCCCGCGUUGGAUUAGCUGGUUGGUAUGGUAACGGCGCACCAAGGCGACGAUCCAUAACUGGUCUGAGAGGAUGACCGGGCACACUGGGACUGAGACACGGCCCAGACUCCUACGGGAGGCAGCAGUGGGAAGUAUUGGACAAUGGGCGUAAGCCUGAUCCAGCCAUGCCGCGUGAGUAAAGAAGGCCUUCAGGUUGUAAAGCUCUUUCAGCGGGGACGAUGAUGACGGUACCCGCAGAAGAAGCCCCGGCUAACUUCGUGCCAGCCGCCGCAGUAA